GUCCUCAUCCAUAAAGUAACUAACCUUGGUAGGUUUAGUCAGUGUCCUCAUCCAUAAAGUAACUAACCUUGGUAGGUUUAGUCAGUGUCCUCAUCCAUAAAGUAACUAACCUUGGUAGGUUUAGUCAGUGUCAUAACCAGCCGUAAAGUAACGCAACAGUGUGUCAUAACAGUGUUAUAACCAUAUUAUAACAGGUUAUGUCAGCUAUUAUUAUUAUUAUGACAGGUUAUAACAGGUUAUGUCAGCUAUUAUUAUUAUUAUGACAGGUUAUAACAGGUUAUGUCAGCUAUUAUUAUUAUUAUGACAGGUUAUAACAGGUUAUGUCAGCUAUUAUUAUUAUUAUGACAGGUUAUAACAGGUUAUGUCAGCUAUUAUUAUUAUUAUGACAGGUUAUAACAGGUUAUGUCAGCUAUUAUUAUUAUUAUGACAGGUUAUAACAGGUUAUGUCAGCUAUUAUUAUUAUUAUGACAGGUUAUAACAGGUUAUGUCAGCUAUUAUUAUUAUUAUGACAGGUUAUAACAGGUUAUGUCAGCUAUUAUUAUUAUUAUGACAGGUUAUAACAGGUUAUGUCAGCUAUUAUUAUUAUUAUGACAGGUUAUAACAGGUUAUGUCAGCUAUUAUUAUUAUUAUGACAGGUUAUAACAGGUUAUGUCAGCUAUUAUUAUUAUUAUGACAGGUUAUAACAGGUUAUGUCAGCUAUUAUUAUUAUUAUGACAGGUUAUAACAGGUUAUGUCAGCUAUUAUUAUUAUUAUGACAGGUUAUAACAGGUUAUGUCAGCUAUUAUUAUUAUUAUGACAGGUUAUAACAGGUUAUGUCAGCUAUUAUUAUUAUUAUGACAGGUUAUAACAGGUUAUGUCAGCUAUUAUUAUUAUUAUGACAGGUUAUAACAGGUUAUGUCAGCUAUUAUUAUUAUUAUUAUGACAGGUUAUAACAGGUUAUGUCAGCUAUUAUUAUUAUUAUGACAGGUUAUGACAGGUUAUAACAGGUUAUGUCAGCUAUUAUUAUUAUUAUGACAGGUUAUGACAGGUUAUAACAGGUUAUGUCAGCUAUUAUUAUUAUUAUGACAGGUUAUGACAGGUUAUAACAGGUUAUGUCAGCUAUUAUUAUUAUUAUGACAGGUUAUAACAGGUUAUGUCAGCUAUUAUUAUUAUUAUGACAGGUUAUAACAGGUUAUGUCAGCUAUUAUUAUUAUUAUGA